AUUAUCACCAUUCAGCCCGGCUUGCCGUUGGACACUUUGUCGUUAAAAGACAUGUCCUAAAGAUAAUGACGGUGUCUUUGGACCCUAGAUGCAACGAGCUCUAACCAGCACGCAUUUUAGUUAAACCAUUAGACCCGGUCUUUUUUCACCAAUUUUAAAAGGUUGACCUCGGAUCAGGUAGGAAUACCCGCUGAACUUAA
rnacentral:misc_RNA from 1 species